rnacentral:rRNA from 1 species
AGACGUCUACAUUAGAUACCCGCGUAGUCCCAGCCGUAAACUAUGCGCGUUAGGUGUAUCGGUGACCACGAGUCACCGAGGUGCCGAAGGGAAACCGUGAAACGUGCCGCCUGGGAAGUACGGUCGCAAGGCUGAAGCUUAAAGGAAUUGGCGGGGAGCACCACAACGGGUGGAGCCUGCGGUUUAAUUGGACUCAACGCCGGGAAGCUCACCGGAUAAGACAGCGGAAUGAUUGCCGGGCUGAAGACUCUGCAUGACUAGCUG